rnacentral:rRNA from 1 species
CGUGAGGUGUUGGGUUAAGUCCCGCAACGAGCGCAACCCUCAUCUUUAGUUGCCAUCAGUUAGGCUGGGCACUCUAGAGAAACUGCCUGCGAUGAGCAGGAGGAAGGCGGGGAUGACGUCAAGUCCUCAUGGCCCUUAUGGACUGGGCUACACACGUGCUACAAUGGCGGUGACAAUGGGCAGCGAAGGGGCGACCUGGAGCAAAUCCCAAAAAGCCGUCCCAGUUCGGAUUGUACUCUGCAACUCGAGUGCAUGAAGUUGGAAUCGCUAGUAAUCGCGGAUCAGCAUGCCGCGGUGAAUACGUUCCCAGGCCUUGUACACACCGCCCGUCACACCAUGGGAGUGGGUUGCAAAAGAAGUGGGUAGCAUAACCUUCGGGAGUGCGCUCACCACUUUGUGAUUCAUGACUGGGGUGAAGUCGGAACAAGGUAGCCGUAGGGGGACCUGCGGCUGGAUCACC